UACGGGGGGAGCAAGCGUUGUUCGGAUUUACUGGGCGUAAAGGGCGCGUAGGCGGUCAGCACAAGUCAGUUGUGAAAUCUCCGGGCUUAACUCGGAAAGGUCAACUGAUACUGUGCGACUAGAGUGCGGAAGGGGCAACUGGAAUUCUUGGUGUAGCGGUGAAAUGCGUAGAUAUCAAGAGGAACACCUGCGGCGAAGGCAGCUCUCUGGGACGGUACUGACGCUGAGACGCGAAGGCCAGGGGAGCAAACGGG
rnacentral:rRNA from 1 species